rnacentral:rRNA from 1 species
AGGGAAUCUUGCACAAUGGGCGAAAGCCUGAUGCAGCAACGCCGCGUGAAGGAUGAAGGCCUUCGGGUUGUAAACUUCUGUUCUAAGGGAAGAAACAAAUGACGGUACCUUAGGAGCAAGCCCCGGCUAACUACGUGCCAGCAGCCGCGGUAAUACGUAGGGGGCAAGCGUUAUCCGGAAUUAUUGGGCGUAAAGAGAGCGUAGGUGGUUACCUAAGCGCAAGGUUUAAUUUAGAGGCUCAACCUCUACUUGCCUUGCGAACUGGGCUACUUGAGUGCAGGAGGGGAAAGCGGAAUUCCUAGUGUAGCGGUGAAAUGCGUAGAUAUUAGGAGGAACACCAGCGGCGAAGGCGGCUUUCUGGACUGUAACUGACACUGAGGCACGAAAGCGUGGGUAACAAACAGGAUUAGAUACCCUGGUAGUCCACGCCGUAAACGAUGAGCACUAGGUGUUGGGCCCGUUAGGGCCCAGUGCCGCAGUUAACGCAAUAAGUGCUCCGCCUGGGGAGUACGCUCGCAAGAGUA